rnacentral:rRNA from 1 species
UACGGGAGGCAGCAGUGGGGAAUAUUGGGCAAUGGGGGGAACCCUAACCCAGCAACGCCGCGUGGAGGAAGAAGGUUUUCGGAUCGUAAACUCCUGUCCUUGGUGAAGAGAAAGAGACGGUAGCCAAGGAGGAAGCCCCGGCUAACUACGUGCCAGCAGCCGCGGUAAU